AUUGAACGCUGGCGGCAUGCUUUACACAUGCAAGUCGAACGGCAGCGCGGGCUUCGGCCUGGCGGCGAGUGGCGAACGGGUGAGUAAUGCAUCGGAACGUGCCCAGUAGUGGGGGAUAGCCCGGCGAAAGCCGGAUUAAUACCGCAUACGACCUGAGGGUGAAAGCGGGGGACCGAAGGGCCUCGCGCUAUUGGAGCGGCCGAUGUCGGAUUAGCUAGUUGGUGGGGUAAAGGCUUACCAAGGCGACGAUCCGUAGCUGGUCUGAGAGGACGACCAGCCACACUGGGACUGAGACACGGCCCAGACUCCUACGGGAGGCAGCAGUGGGGAAUUUUGGACAAUGGGGGCAACCCUGAUCCAGCCAUGCCGCGUGCGGGAAGAAGGCCUUCGGGUUGUAAACCGCUUUUGUUCGGGAAGAAAUCCUCUGGGCUAAUACCCCGGGGGGAUGACGGUACCGGAAGAAUAAGCACCGGCUAACUACGUG
rnacentral:rRNA from 1 species